UACAGAGGGGGCGAGCGUUAUUCGGAAUCAUUGGGCGUAAAGGGCGCGUAGGCGGCUCUGCAAGUGACGGGUGAAAUCCCUCGGCUUAACCGAGGAACUGCCUGUCAGACUGCAUGGCUUGAGACCGGGAGAGGUGAGUGGAAUUCCCAGUGUAGCGGUGAAAUGCGUAGAUAUUGGGAGGAACACCAGUGGCGAAGGCGGCUCACUGGACCGGUACUGACGCUGAGGCGCGAAAGCGUGGGGAGCAAAAGGG
rnacentral:rRNA from 1 species